GAUCAUGGCUCAGAACGAACGCUGGCGGCGCGUCUUAAGCAUGCAAGUCGAACGGCAAGAGGUAGCAAUACCUCCUAGAGUGGCGGACUGGUGAGUAACACGUGGGUGACAUACCCUUCAGAUGGGGGAUAGCUAUUAGAAAUAGUAGAUAAUACCGAAUACGAGCACAGGGGUUAGAGAUCUGUGAGGAAAGGAGCUAAGGCUCCGCUGAAGGAAUGGCCUGCGGCCCAUUAGCUAGUUGGUGAGGUAAGAGCCCACCAAGGCGAUGAUGGGUAUCCGGCCUUAGAGGGUGAACGGACACAUUGGGACUGAGAUACGGCCCAGACUCCUACGGGAGGCAGCAGCUAAGAAUAUUCCGCAAUGGACGAAAGUCUGACGGAGCGACGCCGCGUGGAUGAAGAAGGCCGGAAGGUUGUAAAAUCCUUUUGAAACUGAAGAAUAAGCGUUGUAGGGAAUGACAGCGUGGUGACAGUAGGUUUUGAAUAAGCAACGGCUAAUUACGUGCCAGCCGCUGC
rnacentral:rRNA from 1 species